rnacentral:rRNA from 1 species
UACGGAAGGCAGCAGUGGGGAAUAUUGCACAAUGGGCGAAAGCCUGAUGCAGCUAUGCCGCGUGUAUGAAGAAGGCCUUAGGGUUGUAAAGUACUUUCAGCGGGGAGGAAGGCGAUGCGGUUAAUAACCGCGUCGAUUGACGUUACCCGCAGAAGAAGCACCGGCUAACUCCGUGCCAGCAGCCGCGGUAAUACGGAGGGUGCAAGCGUUAAUCGGAAUUACUGGGCGUAAAGCGCACGCAGGCGGUCUGUUAAGUCAGAUGUGAAAUCCCCCGGGCUUAACCUGGGAACUGCAUUUUGAAACUGGCAGGCUUGAGUCUUGUAGAGGGGGUAGAAUUCCAGGUGUAGCGGUGAAAUGCGUAGAGAUCUGGAGGAAUACCGGUGGCGAAGGCGGCCCCUGGGACAAGACUGACGCUCAGGUGCGAAAGCGUGGGGAGCAAACGAGGAUUAGAUACCCGU